rnacentral:rRNA from 1 species
UCCGUAGGUGGCAAGCGUUGUCCGGAUUUACUGGGCGUAAAGAGCGCGCAGGCGGUCGUUCAAGUCGCGUGUGAAAGCCCCCGGCUCAACUGGGGAGGGUCACGCGAUACUGAUCGACUCGAAGGCAGGAGAGGGUAGUGGAAUUCCCGGUGUAGUGGUGAAAUGCGUAGAUAUCGGGAGGAACACCAGUGGCGAAGGCGACUACCUGGCCUGUUCUUGACGCUGAGGCGCGAAGGCUAGGGGAGCAAACGGG